rnacentral:rRNA from 1 species
CCACCGCGGUUAUACGAGAGGCUCAAGUUGACAGACAACGGCGUAAAGCGUGGUUAAGGAAAAUAUUUUACUAAAGCGGAACGCCCUCACAGCUGUUAUACGCUUCCGAGGGUAUGAACCCCAACUACGAAGGUGGCUUUACAUUACCUGAAUCCACGAAAGCUAAGAAACAAACUGGGAUUAGAUACCCCACUAUGCUUAGCCUUAAACAUUGAUCGUUUACCACAUCAAACAUCCGCCUGGGGAUUACGAACACUAGUUUAAAACCCAAAGGACUUGGCGGUGCUUAACAUCCACCUAGAGGAGCCUGUUCUAGAACCGAUAACCCCCGUUAAACCUCACCCUCCCUAGCUUUCUCCCGCCUAUAUACCACCGUCGCCAGCUUACCCUGUGAAGGCCUAAUAGUAAGCACAAUUGGCAUAGCCCAAAACGUCAGGUCGAGGUGUAGUGCAUGAGAGGGGAAGAAAUGGGCUACAUUCGCUGCCCGCCAGCGAACACGAAUGAUGCAUUGAAACAUGCAGCUGAAGGAGGAUUUAGCAGUAAGCAGAAAACAGAGUGUUCCGCUGAAACCGGCUCUUAAGCGCGCACACACCGCCCGUCACCCUCCCCAAGCACCUGGACCUAAAUUUUCUUUAAAACCCCACAACCGCGAAGGAGAGGAAAGUCGUAACAUGGUAAGCG